AUGAACGCUGGCGGCGUGCCUAAUACAUGCAAGUCGAGCGAACGGACGAGAAGCUUGCUUCUCUGAUGUUAGCGGCGGACGGGUGAGUAACACGUGGAUAACCUACCUAUAAGACUGGGAUAACUUCGGGAAACCGGAGCUAAUACCGGAUGAUAUUUUGAACCGCAUGGUUCAAAAGUGAAAGACGGUCUUACUGUCACUUAUAGAUGGAUCCGCGCUGCAUUAGCUAGUUGGUAAGGUAACGGCUUACCAAGGCAACGAUGCAUAGCCGACCUGAGAGGGUGAUCGGCCACACUGGAACUGAGACACGGUCCAGACUCCUACGGGAGGCAGCAGUAGGGAAUCUUCCGCAAUGGGCGAAAGCCUGACGGAGCAACGCCGCGUGAGUGAUGAAGGUCUUCGGAUCGUAAAACUCUGUUAUUAGGGAAGAACAUAUGUGUAAGUAACUGUGCACAUCUUGACGGUACCUAAUCAGAAAGCCACGGCUAACUACGUG
rnacentral:rRNA from 1 species